UACGAAGGGGGCUAGCGUUGUUCGGAAUCACUGGGCGUAAAGCGCACGCAGGCGGCUUGAUAAGUCAGGGGUGAAAUCCCGGAGCUCAACUUCGGAAUUGCCUUUGAUACUGUCUGUCUUGAGUCCGGGAGAGGUGAGUGGAAUUCCUAGUGUAGAGGUGAAAUUCGUAGAUAUUAGGAAGAACACCAGUGGCGAAGGCGGCUCACUGGCCCGGGACUGACGCUCAUGUGCGAAAGCGUGGGGAGCAAACAGG
rnacentral:rRNA from 1 species